UAAUGCCUUUUGCAUUCCUGUUAUCAACACUGACAUGGCUGAGCGAACAAAUACGACAAGUGUUGUAUGAAGAAAAUGGCCAAGGACCUUCCACCAACAGAAAAGAUGAACCAGUUGGUGCUUAACCUGAGAAGUAGACCCUUGAAGCAGGGGUCAAGAACACUGACUGUGUAAGGAAGAAUUUUAUUAUAUAUGUAUAUAUAUAUAAAUUUUAAAGUAAAAUGUUUUAUCUGAUAGUA